rnacentral:rRNA from 1 species
UGGGGAAUAUUGCACAAUGGGGGAAACCCUGAUGCAGCGACGCCGCGUGGAGGAAGAAGGUCUUCGGAUUGUAAACUCCUGUUGUUGAGGAAGAUAAUGACGGUACUCAACAAGGAAGUGACGGCUAACUACGUGCCAGCAGCCGCGGUAAAACGUAGGUCACAAGCGUUGUCCGGAAUUACUGGGUGUAAAGGGAGCGCAGGCGGGAAAACAAGUUGGAAGUGAAAUCCAUGGGCUCAACCCAUAAACUGCAUUUGAAACUGUAGAGCUUGAGUGAAGUAGAGGCAGGCGGAAUUCCCCGUGUAGCGGUGAAAUGCGUAGAGAUGGGGAGGAACACCAGUGGCGAAGGCGGCCUGCUGGGCUUUAACUGACGCUGAGGCACGAAAGCGUGGGUAGCAAACAGGAUUAGAUACCCUGGUAGUCCACGCUGUAAACGAUGAUUACUAGGUGUGGGGGGUCUGACCCCUUCCGUGCCGGAGUUAACACAAUAAGUAAUCCACCUGGGGAGUACGGCCGCAAGGUUGAAACUCAAAGGAAUUGACGGGGGCCCGCACAAGCAGUGGAGUAUGUGGUUUAAUUCGAAGCAACGCGAAGAACCUUACCAGGUCUUGACAUCCAACUAACGAAGUAGAGAUACAUUAGGUGCCCUUCGGGGAAAGUUGAGACAGGUGGUGCAUGGUUGUCGUCAGCUCGUGUCGUGAGAUGUUGGGUUAAGUCCCGCAACGAGCGCAACCCUUGCUAUUAGUUGCUACGCAAGAGCACUCUAAUAGGACUGCCGUUGACAAAACGGAGGAAGGUGGGGACGACGUCAAAUCAUCAUGCCCCUUAUGACCUGGGCUACACACGUACUACAAUGGAUGUUAACAGAGGGAAGCAAGACAGCGAUGUGGAGCAAACCCCUAAAAACAUUCUCAGUUCAGAUUGCAGGCUGCAACCCGCCUGCAUGAAGAUGGAAUUGCUAGUAAUCGCGGAUCAGAAUGCCGCGGUGAAUACGUUCCC